GACAGAGGUGCCGAGCGUUAGGCGGAAUCACUGGGCUUAAAGCGUGCGUAGGCGGACUUCUAAGUACCUUGUGAAAUCCCACGGCUUAACCGUGGAACUGCUUGGUAUACUGGUUGUCUUGGGCCAUCUAGGGGCUACCGGAACAAACGGUGGAGCGGUGAAAUGCGUAGAUAUCAGGAGGAACACCGGUGGCGAAAGCGGCUUCCUGGCCCGACACUGACGCUCAUGUACGAAAGCGUGGGGAGCAAACAGG
rnacentral:rRNA from 1 species